rnacentral:rRNA from 1 species
UACGAGGGGUCCUAGCGUUGUUCGGAAUCAUUGGGCGUAAAGGGUGCGUAGGUGGCUAUUCAAGUCAGUUGUGAAAUCCCCGGGCUCAACCCGGGAAGUGCUUCUGAUACUGUUUGGCUUGAGUACUGGAGAGGAUAGUAGAAUUCCUGGUGUAGUGGUGAAAUACGUAGAUAUCAGGAGGAAUACCGGUGGCGAAGGCGGCUAUCUGGCCAUGUACUGACGCUGAAACACGAAAGCGUGGGGAGCAAACAGG